CUCCUUGGUUUUUGAAUAAUUUAUUUUAAAAAACUUUUAUUUAUGCUGAGAUAAGGAUCUGCCUGUGGUAUAAAACAUUGUUUAUAAAUAACGAGAGAAUGCCUCUUUUCUUCCAAGGAGCUUCUCACAGUUGCUAUCAAAUGAUGUGUCAGGAUCUCCAGAGAAGCAGCUAUUAACAGUAACAUGAGUGAACGGCACUCAGGGCAGCAUGCAGACAGGUCUGACUCACCUUGUGGUCCUUCCUCACGACCCCGCACAAACAUGUAGGUGACUGCGUCCUUCAUCAGGUGAAACAUUAAAGACUCUUAUGGCCACCCAGUGCAUGACGACAGAGACGGACUGGACCCGUCUCCAGUCCCAUGCCUUUCCCCGCCAUGAAUCACCUCUUAUCUGAUCCGAGGCUCACAAAUAACGUGGCCACUGUGUCUGUCUGUGCGCACCCGCGUAGGCACGUAUGCGCCCAUACGCAUGCGCAGACUUGCAUGGACGAGCACGUAUUUCCGGGCCAGCGCACGCACGAUGCACGCCUUUGCAGGUACGUGCAUGCGCAACGGAUACACCUUCCUGGGCAGUCACAGGCCCUCACCGGAGAAAGCCGCAGCAGCUAGGGCUUCUCAGACCUCUGCCGGCAGAGAAAGAGGGUUCACAGGGUGCUGUGGUCCCAAGAAUCCCAGCUCUUGAGUUUUCUACAGCUGAAGUUCCCAGGCCGUAAGCCCCAAACACGGGGCUGCUGCUCUAGAUGUGCUGUGCCUCCCUGGCAAGGUGAGGAGCGUGAGAGAUGCCACACUGCUGAGUGGGUGGACUGAUCAUUAGAUCUUUGUGUCAGGCA
rnacentral:lncRNA from 1 species